AUCGAUGACGUCCAAGCGUCAAUAACAAAAAAUGCUCAUCUAAGCUGUAGACACCACUUCGCCUGCAGAAACACACUAUUACAGAGAAACGGCAAUAGGCCUUCUGUCAAAUCAGGACCCGGGUUCAAUCCAAAUCGCUGCUCUUUUCCUGUGAAUUGCGUGAAAAGACAUAGGACUAUGUUGGCUGGUGUGGGCUGUGAAAACCUUUUUUUAUUUAUAUUUUGCAAGUGAAAACCAAAAAAAAGACGUCCAAUUCAGCAGUACAUGAUCGAUUUCUCCAGGUUGUGGAUGUUACACAUAAUGACAAAAAAAAACCUAUAAAACUCUAUACAUAAGUGACUUAUGAGCAUCGUGCUUGUCAAUGACAGCCUCGUUUUAAAGCUUUGCGGGCAGAUAUUCCGAUACUCAACAAACUGUCAGAGAAUAUUAGAUCGUAAUCAGCAUGGAGGAUUUCCUCUGUUGCCAUGGUUUCAAGUUUCAGUAAAAAUGUGGUUUUCCUCACUAAUAACAAGCACCACGACUGACACCAAGAUAACAAGAGAAGACAGACAAGCAGCCUUCUUAAGCCUCCAGAAGACCCCAGAAAUACAUGUGUAACAACUUUGUUUUAUUUUUGGCCCAAGGGCCAAAGUUGUUUGUGCACCAUAUUAAUUUAAAUGAUAGGGGUUUGUCCAAUCAGUAGACUAUAAAUUGUUAUUAUUCAUUACAUAUUAUACCUCAUGCUUCAAAUUUCUCUUCUUCUCAUUCCCCAGCUGUCCACAUCUAUCUGAUACCAUCAAGCUUCAACCGGUCCCAGCGAUAGAUUGAACAGGUGCUGGCUGCUUGAGUUUAACAAUAAUAAUAAUAAUAAUUGAUCUUUUUUUUACAGUGCUUUUCUAAAUGCUCAAGGACGCUUUACAAAUAAGAAAGGAAUACAUACAGACUGUACAGACAAUAAAACGAAAGUGAAAAAAUAAACAUCACCACAAUGAAGCCUUAAUGUGAUUUUUACUAUAUCCUAAUCCUUUCUCUUCAAAUUCUCAAUUGUCAAUUACAAUUUACUUAGGCCUACUAUACACCACAACAAUAUGCCUAUCCAUCCUUAAUCCACAUCCUGACCUCUUUAAAGAAUCAGAUUCAGGUCCUGAUCAUGAUUACGGCAUGAUGGAGUAUAUUUCCAACCAAUGUGUCCAUGUGUGCCCUGCGGUGGUCUUCUAGGCCAGCAGACCUCGGAGGACCACCAGCACGUUGAGAACAAGGGUUUUGGUCAGGAUGUGUCGCAGGCCGUUUAUCAGCAGGUAGUACGAGCUCAGCCUGUUAUUGUCUGGACCGCAAAGGAAGGAGAGAAAUAGAUUGAUGUCGGCCAUUUGGCAGCGCCUGAAGAUAAUGCGACGCAAAGCAAGAGGAAGUUAUCACACAUUCAUAGAGAGGUCAAGGAGCGGACUUACCGGAGGGUUCUGCGUUGAAGACUUCGGUGUGAUUUUCUAAUUUGUGGGCUGGACCAAAAGCAGGAAUUGUUUUGUGAUUAAAAAAUAACCUGAUGUUGUGUUGACGGUUACUGGGGUAGACCUAGUUGUUAGGUAGGCAGUUGUUGGGUUGGCAUUUGUCGGAACUGCCUCAUUAUCUGCACCUAUAAAUUAAAGAACAUAAAUUAAAUUUCAACAUAGACUACAUGUCACAUUAACACAGAUUAUACAUCCAGUACUUCAGAACCAUGGCCUACCACUUUUGGUAGGGCUAGAAUGAUUUCAAAGUAAUAGGCCAAUGUAUUUUUAACGAUUUUUCAAAGUAGCCCAUUUGAAAUAGCCCUAUGUCGAUUUACCUUCCACUGAACAACUACUGAUGAUACUUCCUUUGGAAAAUGUAGCAUAGGUGUAUGAUUUGCUCCUGGGGGAUAUCAAAAGUUGAUUGGUGAUAUCCUUAAGCGGGUUAAGGAGCACUCUGUUCGAUAUAUCCGGGUAGAAUCCGGUUGCCAGGCAGACCUGCGGGCCCUCCAUAUCGCCCAACAUCGGGCGGAGGAUAGACAGGGUGGGGGCGACAUGAGGAGUAUCAUCUUAUGGAGAGAAAAAAACAAAAUAACAUGCAUGAACUAAAAAGAAGACAUAAUAAACCCAGGUUUUUGUGCUGUUAUAAAUGAAACGGGUGGCUUUAAAAACUUUUUUUUCACUUUUUUACAUUUUUUAAUUAAAUGUCAAAAUGGUUUAAACUAAUAAAUUAAACUUUUAAAAUGUAUUUGAGAAUGUUGACUAAUAACAGAACAUUUCUUACCUCCAAAUUUAACGUCGAGAGUGAUGGCAUUACCGAAAAGCAGAUCACUGUGCUACAGCCCCAUACAAAAACCUGCAGGGGAAUUCAAUCAAUAAGUUCUGACUUUAGGAUAGUAUUACAACAGUAAAUUCGUAAAUGUUAAUUUCAGUCAAUAUUAUUUUAGCUAUAGAGCCUACAAAAACAAAUAUAUUAGUUUGCAGAUGAUUUAUACAGCAAUGGUGUCUUUGGGUUAGGGUAAGGGUUAGGUUUAGGGUUAGGGUUUAGGGUUAGGGUUAGGGGUUAGGGUUAAGCCUAAAUGCGACUUACCAAAUGUCAAACGUCCAUCAAACGCCUAUUGAAACAUAAUUCUGUCUCAAAGGUAUUAUUCCAUGAGAUUAAUAACGUAGGCCUAGUCGGACGGGUUUUUGUUAAGGUGUGUGCGGGUGUUGAAUCAUUGUGGGGGCCGUAUCCCCCACACAGUGAAACAUCCCAGCACAAAAACUACGACGACAUUACCUGCUGUGGGGAAAAGAUCUGGAACUCCCUGGAACAUCGAUGACUGGUUUCUAUCUAUUACGCUGCUAUCAUAUUGAAUUAAUAUCAUACCAAACAUCGCCUCUCUAUGAAGCUAUACCUGCGGGAUAAGACUUAUACGUUGUGGCUCUUGUGAAGAGCCAAGCAAUUGUAGCAGCACUCCCCUUAUGCGAAAACGAAAGGAGUGUAGGGAGGGGUCCUAGCCGAGUCCGACCUGCAGCAGCAUAAACUUGCCAUUAUUAUAUGCAAAACAAUAUUACCCGAGAAGUAGCCUACGCUAGGGUAGGUAGGAGCCAGCUUUUUUAUGUAGUCCUAUAUGUUUGCAAGGUUUUAAUAGUUAAAUAAAGAGUUAAUUAACAGAUUAUAAUCAACACGGGUUGAUCCUGUAAAGAAGCUUAUAGUUAGCGUCUUAUCCCUGUAGCCUAGGCACCUGGCUGUGGAUAUUCUGUGCAAUUGUUGUUGUGGUAUUUAUUUAUUUAUUUUUAACCUGCAAUACAAUUUGGUUGAUUUAAAAAUGAUCAGUUUGCUACU
ensembl:lncRNA